GGCUCUGUAGCUCAGUUGGUUAGAGCGUUGGACUCAUAAGCCAAAGGUCGCAAGUUCGAACCUUGCCAGAGCUACCA
rnacentral:tRNA from 1 species